UACGGGGGGAGCAAGCGUUGUUCGGAUUUACUGGGCGUAAAGGGCGCGUAGGCGGUCAGCACAAGUCAGUUGUGAAAUCUCCGGGCUUAACUCGGAAAGGUCAACUGAUACUGUGCGACUAGAGUGCAGAAGGGGCAACUGGAAUUCUCGGUGUAGCGGUGAAAUGCGUAGAUAUGACAUAGAACACCAAUUGCGAAGGCAGCUCGCUACACAUAUAUUGACUCUGAGGCACGAAAGCGUGGGGAUCAAACAGG
rnacentral:rRNA from 1 species